rnacentral:rRNA from 1 species
AUUGAACGCUGGCGGCAGGCCUAACACAUGCAAGUCGAGCGGAUGAAGGGAGCUUGCUCCUGGAUUCAGCGGCGGACGGGUGAGUAAUGCCUAGGAAUCUGCCUGGUAGUGGGGGAUAACGUCCGGAAACGGGCGCUAAUACCGCAUACGUCCUGAGGGAGAAAGUGGGGGAUCUUCGGACCUCACGCUAUCAGAUGAGCCUAGGUCGGAUUAGCUAGUUGGUGGGGUAAAGGCCUACCAAGGCGACGAUCCGUAACUGGUCUGAGAGGAGGAUCAGUCACACGGGAACUGAGACACGGUCCAGACUCCUACGGGAGGCAGCAGUGGGGAAUAUUGGACAAUGGGCGAAAGCCUGAUCCAGCCAUGCCGCGUGUGUGAAGAAGGUCUUCGGAUUGUAAAGCACUUUAAGUUGGGAGGAAGGGCAGUAAGUUAAUACCUUGCUGGUUUGACGGUACCAACAGAAGAAGCACCGGCUAACUUCGUG